GACAGCAGGAGGUGCCGGGAGUUCCUCGACCACCCGGUCACAGAGGAGGAGAUGACCAGGAGAACUGCAAUAUUCCCCAGAGUAAUCAUCACGCCCAGAGCCACUAUUACGCAGACUUUAAUGGAGCGACACACAAAGCAUGAGCUGUGGAGGGAACAGUGUGUCCAAGUUUACUGGGACGUCAGUGCAGGUUGUGGUGCCUUCAUAAAUGUGAUCCCUUUGGUCUGAGGUC